GUCUACAGCCAUGCCACCCUGAACAAGCCUGAUGUCUGAUCUCAGAAGCUAAGCAGGGUGAGGCCUGGUUAGUACUUGGAUGAGACCACCUAGAAAGACCAUGUUCUAUAGGCA
rnacentral:rRNA from 1 species